rnacentral:misc_RNA from 1 species
AGGUGAACCUGCGGAGGGAUCAUUACAAGUGACCCCGGUCUAACCACCGGGAUGUUCAUAACCCUUUGUUGUCCGACUCUGUUGCCUCCGGGGCGACCCUGCCUUCGGGCGGGGGCUCCGGGUGGACACUUCAAACUCUUGCGUAACUUUGCAGUCUGAGUAAACCUAAUUAAUAAAUUAAAACUUUUAACAACGGAUCUCUUGGUUCUGG